rnacentral:rRNA from 1 species
AGUGAACGCUGGCGGUAGGCCUAACACAUGCAAGUCGAACGGCCGCACAGUGAGCUCUUUCUCUUAACGUUGGCGACUGGCGGAUGGGUGACGCAUACAUCGCCUUCCUCUUUUUCGUGGGUGACAACGUGAGGCCACUUCCGAUACUACCGCAUACGUUCUACGGCUGAAAUCAGUGGUUCUUCGCACCUUGCCUGUCUCUAUUAGAUGAUGUCGCAUUAGCUAGUUGGCUGGGUAAAGGCCCACCAAGGCGACGCUCCGUAGCUGGUCUGAGAGGAUGAUCAGCCACACUGGAACUGAGACACGGUCCAGACUCCUACGGGAGGCAGCAGUGGGGAAUAUUGGACAAUGGGCGCAAGCCUGAUCCAGCCAUACCGCGUGGGUGAAGAAGGCCUUCGGGUUGUAAAGCCCUUUUAUUGGGAAAGAAAAACUGCGUAUGAAAACCCCGCUGUUCUGACGGUACCCAAAGAAUAAGCACCGGCUAACUUCGUG